UACGUAGGGGGCUAGCGUUGUCCGGAAUCAUUGGGCGUAAAGAGCGUGUAGGCGGCCCGGUAAAUCCGCUGUGAAAGUCGGGGGCUCAACCCUCGAAUGCCGGUGGAUACUGUCGGGCUAGAGUGCGGAAGAGGCGAGUGGAAUUCCUGGUGUAGCGGUGAAAUGCGCAGAUAUCAGGAGGAACACCGAUUGCGAAGGCAGCUCGCUGGGACGUAACUGACGCUGAGACGCGAAAGCGUGGGGAGCAAACAGG
rnacentral:rRNA from 1 species